UACGGAGGGUGCAAACGUUGCUCGGAAUCAUUGGGCGUAAAGCGCACGUAGGCGGGCGGCUAUGUCGGAUGUGAAAGCCUCGGGCUUAACCCGAGAAGGGCAUCCGAAACUGGCCGGCUUGAGUACGGAAGAGGGUCUCGGAAUUCCCGGUGUAGAGGUGAAAUUCGUAGAUAUCGGGAGGAACACCAGUGGCGAAGGCGGAGACCUGGGCCGAUACUGACGCUGAGGUGCGAAAGCGUGGGGAGCAAACAGG
rnacentral:rRNA from 1 species